ensembl:lincRNA
CUGGCCCUGAGUGUUUUUAGAGUACAACCUGGAUUCAAGCUGGAAACUUUAACAGCUUUCCUUAACCUGGCUUUAAAGAAGUUUUUUAUCCUCACAGCUCCUUGUCAUACAAAUCUCUUAUGGAGCCCAGUAUAUGAAACAUUGAUCAUCUCAGUUAGCAGAGGAGCCCAGAGCCCUGUCUCUUCACCCUUUUUCCCCAAGUCUCUUUUUCACUGUACCCCAGCCACUCCCAGAAAGGCUCCACAGAGCACUAGUCAAAAUAUCGCAAGAGCCAAGCAUAAUAUAUAUGCUGUUAAUCCCAGUUCCUCAAGAGAUCGAGGCAGGCAGGCCACAAGUUCAAGGCUGGGCUGGACAACUUAGCCAGACUGUCUCAAAAUAAAAACCGAAAAAGGAUGGGGAUGUAUCUCACUAGUAGAACACUUGUAGCAUGCAGGAAGCCAUGGGUUCGAUCCUCAGAAUCACAUUUCCAAGGUCUGUCCUCAUUGAUUAUACUGUAUAUGUUCACAGGCCAAGACUCAAAGAGGACUGGCAUUGGAGCAGGGCAAGUUGCAAACCUAGGAGCUGGGCCUGUACUUCUUGGUUGGCACGUUGAUGAAGAAAUCUCUUCCAUGAAUCCCAGUAUGGAGAUCCAGCUUAACUUGGGACCAGCUCUGUUUAAUCUUUUCAGGAGCUCCUUUUCCAGGUCUCCUGGAGCACCUCCAUGUCCCCACCUGCACACUGAUCCCCUGGGGUUGCUGACUACCUCUGAUUUCCUGAAGCAAGGUCAUGCUGUUUAGCACUGUGAUUCUGCCCCCAUGGUCUGGAAAUCUUAAGAUGCUUCCCUACCUGGAGCCCCUCUUCUGCCAAACAUACAUCCAGGAAACUCAGGCUGGAAUCGACUACUUAGAUCUCAAAAGUUCACAGCAUUUUGAGUAUCCAUUUUCUGAAAGUCUUUCAACCCAGCUCAGCAAAGUUAGUUUAGGGCAAUGAUUCCUAAAUGUCAAGGUGUCUAUGGCUCUCCCAGAAAGCUUUGUUAAAAUUCAGAUGUGUUGGCCCACACUCCAGAACCUCUGAUUCACCGGUCUUUCUGUGAAGCUCAGGAAUGCACAUAUGAACAGCAAUCUAGAUGAUUCUCAGACAGCAUGCUUAAGAAUUGCUUGGACACACACACACACACACGCACGCACGCGCGCGCGCAUGCAUGCGCACACUGCUUUUUGUUUUAAGCUUACCAGUGAUAUAUUUGAUCCUAUACUCUUCACUCUAUUAGCAGACCCUGAGCUGGGUGUAUGAAGUACAGAGAGGAAUAAUGAUGGCCCUUGCUCUCAGGACUGCCCCACUGUACAAUGGAGGUAGAAGACAAGUAGAUAAUUGCUGGGCAGUAUCCACCAUCUCUCCAAGGUCUCUGGAGAGAAGAUUAGGUUUCAAUUAUGAAGUAAGGACCAAGAAACCAUCCUCCAUUUUCCUGGAAUUCAGUAAGCAAAACAAGGUUCAGUAAUUGCAAGAUGCCCAUCUAGUAGGUACUUGUCCUAUGCCAGGUGCUGGCUGCAGUGCCAGGUCCCCUUGCCCUGCUCUCAUCAUAUCAAUGCACUGUGGGACUUAACAGACUCCUCUAAUUUGGCUUCUGUUACAAAAAGGCACCUGAAUUCAUUGACAGGCG